CAGGCUAAUAGUCGCUCGAGACAGCAUGGACUGCAAAGACACAGGAAACUGGAAGGCUCAGGAUCAUUACGGGAGUCGGAUUUGGUGACCUGAUUUCGAGUGGAUAACCGUGGCAAUUCUCGAGCUAAUACAUGCGUAACGGCUGAAUUCACGUUUAGCUGGUUUUAUUAGAUAUGAUGCCAACCAUUUGGUUGUGAUGAAUCAUGGUAACUGAUCGGAUCGCUCUGCGAUGAGUCAUCCAAGUCUCUGCCCUAUCAGCUCUCGAUGGUAGUGUAUUGGACUACCAUGGCAGUCACGGGUAACGGAGAAUUAGGGUUCGGUUCCGGAGAGGGAGCCUGAAAAACGGCUACCACAUCUAAGGAAGGCAGCAGGCGCGUAUAUUACCCAAUCCCCACUCGGGAAAGUAGUCACAAGACAUAACACCUCACGCUGACAAACUUCCAAUACGGCAAGGAUUGCCCCCAGCCAUAUACAUAAAAAAAAACUCGGUAAUAUACCAUUCUGACUCGAGUAUGACAGAUACACUCUGGUCAAGCUUCGGAUUGCAUGUUGUAAGUGACAAUUGAGGAACCAUGGAGCAAGUUCUGGUCAGCAGCCGCGUAUCCAGCUCCAAUAGCGUAUAUAAAGUGUUGCAGGUAAAAGCCUCGUAGUGACUCGUGGUCGUUUGAGGAUUCAUCUAAACGGGAUACAUCGUCUGCAGCAGAUCGUUCUGUGGGCAGACAGUUACCUUGAGAAAAUUAGAGUGUUCCCAGGCAGCGUAGUCCGGAUACAUUAGCAUGGAAUAAUGGAAGAUGUCUCGGAUCCCGUGUUGGUUGGGUGAAGAGAAAUGAUGAAUAGGGACAGUCGGGGGCAUUAGUAUUUAAUUGUCAGAGGUGAAAUUCUUGGAUUUAUUAAAGACUGACUUCUGCGAAAGCAUUUGCCAAGGAUGUUUUCAUUGAUCAAGAACGAAAGUUAGGGGAUCAAAGACGAUCAGAUACCGUCCUAGUCUUAACUAUAAACUUUACCGACUCGGGAUCAGGUGGGAUCUUAAGCCCGCUUGGCACCGUACGAGAAAUCAAAGUCUUUGGGUUCUGGGGGGAGUAUGGUCGCAAGGCUGAAACUUAAAGGAAUUGACGGAAGGGCACCACCAGGAGUGGAGCCUGCGGCUUAAUUUGACUCAACACGGGGAAACUUACCAGGUCAAAACAUGGGUGUGAUGGACAGAUUGAGAGCUCUUUCUUGAUUCUAUGGGUGGUGGUGCAUGGCCGUUCUUAGUUGGUGGAGCGAUUUGUCAGGUUAAUUCCUUUAACGAACGAGACCUUAACCUGCUAACUAGUGCCCUGUCUCCACAUGGGCCACUUCUUAGAGGGACUAUGCGAGUUUAUCGCAUGGAAGUUUGAGGCAAUAACAGGUCUGUGAUGCCCUUAGAUGUCCUGGGCCGCACGCGCGCUACAAUGGCACAUGCAACGAGUGUUCUGAUCAGAAAUGAUUGGGCAAUCUGCGAGGGUGUGCCGUGAUGGGGAUCGAUCUUUGCAAUUGUGGAUCGUGAACGAGGAAUUCCUAGUAAGCACAAGUCAUCAGCUUGUGCUGAUUACGUCCCUGCCCUUUGUACACACCGCCCGUCGCUCCUACCGAUUUUGAGUGAUCCGGUGAACCUUCUGGACCGAGCUUGCUUGGAAAGUUAAGUAAACCCCGAUCAACUAGAGGAACGGCCCCU
rnacentral:rRNA from 1 species